UCUCAUUAUUCACAGAUGCCAUGAUAUUUUACAUAGAAAACCAAAAUGUCUCCACCAAAAAACAACUAGAUUUCAUAAAUGAAUUUUGCAAUGUAGCAGGAUACAAAAUCAAUACC